rnacentral:tRNA from 1 species
AUGGCAGUGGCGCAAUUGGCAGCGCAGCAGUCUCCAAAACUGAAGGUUGGGGGUUCGAGGCCCUCCUGCCAUGCAA